rnacentral:rRNA from 1 species
UACAGAGGCCUCAAGCGUUGUUCGGAUUUACUGGGCGUAAAGGGCGCGUAGGCGGCUCAACAAGUCACUUGUGAAAUCUCCGGGCUUAACUCGGAACGGUCAAGUGAUACUGUCGAGCUAGAGUACAGAAGGGGCAACUGGAAUUCUCGGUGUAGCGGUGAAAUGCGUAGAUAUCGAGAGGAACACCUGCGGCGAAGGCGGGUUGCUGGGCUGAUACUGACGCUGAGGCGCGAAAGCCAGGGGAGCGAACGGG